AUGGCACUUUGCUGUUGAGUUUUCUCUUCAAGGGGACUCAGGGGUGUUGUUCUCACAGGAUGCUUUCCGGAGGAAAAAUCUCUUUUGACGGCUGAAUGACAUCUUGUUGGAGGAUAAUAGAGUUCAUGCUGGAGCUGAAACUCCAAAACAGGGCCUUUGGAAAGUGAUUCACCUGGAAGGCUCCAUCUCACAAGUGGGCACUCAGAGAGCUGCC
rnacentral:lncRNA from 1 species